UACGUAGGGGCGCAAGCGUUAUCCGGAAUUAUUGGGCGUAAAGAGCUCGUAGGCGGUUUGUCGCGUCUGCCGUGAAAGUCCGGGGCUCAACUCCGGAUCUGCGGUGGGUACGGGCAGACUAGAGUGAUGUAGGGGAGAUCGGAAUUCCUGGUGUAGCGGUGAAAUGCGCAGAUAUCAGGAGGAACACCGGUGGCGAAGGCGGACUCUGGGCCGUAACUGACGCUGAGGAGCGAAAGCAUGGGGAGCGAACAGG
rnacentral:rRNA from 1 species